GUACACACCGCCCGUCGCUGCUACCGAUUGGAUGAUCCGGUGAAAUCCUCGGAUUGAUGUAGYUAYCUAGCAGCAAUGUUAGAUAYUAUAUUGAGAAGUUGAUUAAACCUUAUCAUCUAGAGGAAGCAAAAGUCGUAACAAGGUUUCCGUAGGUGAACCUGCAGAAGGAUCA
rnacentral:rRNA from 1 species